rnacentral:rRNA from 1 species
CAGCCGCCGCGGUAAUACGUAGGGUGCGAGCGUUAAUCGGAUUUACUGGGCGUAAAGCGUGCGCAGGCGGCCCGUUAAGACAGGUGUGAAAUCCCUGGGCUCAACCUAGGAAUUGCGCUUGUGACUGGCGGGCUCGAGUACGGUAGAGGGGGGUGGAAUUCCUGGUGUAGCAGUGAAAUGCGUAGAGAUCAGGAGGAACACCGAUGGCGAAGGCAGCCCCCUGGGCCUGUACUGACGCUCAUGCACGAAAGCGUGGGGAGCAAACAGGAUUAGAUACCCGGGUAGUCCACGCCCUAAACGAUGGGUACUAGCCGUUUGGUGCGCGAGAGCGCUGAGUGGCGAAGCUAACGCGUGAAGUACCCCGCCUGGGGAGUACGGCCGCAAGGUUGAAACUUAAAGGAAUUGGCGGG